ACGUUACCUAGUUGAUCACAAAUUCACGUCGUCAAACCAUAUACCCCAACAACUUUGGAUUCAGAUGUUGGAUACUUUGAAUUAGUCAUAAAGAUGUAUCCACAAGGAAGGAUGUCUCACCACUUCCAAUGAUGUGCGAAGGUGAUUAUCUAGCUGUGAAAGGACCUAAGGUAAUCUUUUCCUAUCAAUUAAGAGUCCAUAUCAACUAAAAAGGAACAAAGAAGACAAAGUUAUAGAGAAAAAAAAAAGCAUUAAAACCCAUUCGUUGAGCAGCAUUUUCAGUCUUCCAUGUCACCCCGGGAUAAUCAAGACGCAAAUAUCAUGUAUGCUUUCAAUUGACAUUCUAAUGUUCAUGAACGAAGAAAAAUCAAAGACUAACCAAUGAAAAACCAAAUCCCCUUUUGAUUCCAAACCCAACCCUAAACCUAACCCUAAAAU